GUGCCAGCAGCCGCGGUAAUACAGAGGGGGCAAGCGUUAUUCGGAAUUAUUGGGCGUAAAGGGCGCGUAGGCGGCCAGUCAAGUGGAAGGUGAAAUCCCUCGGCUUAACCGAGGAACUGCCUUCCAGACUGUUUGGCUUGAGACCAGGAGAGGUGAGUGGAAUUCCCAGUGUAGCGGUGAAAUGCGUAGAUAUUGGGAGGAACACCAGUGGCGAAGGCGGCUCACUGGACUGGUACUGACGCUGAGGCGCGAAAGCGUGGGGAGCAAACGGGAUUAGAUACCCCGGUAGUCCACGCCGUAAACGAUGAGUGCUUGGUGUAGCGGGUAUCGACCCCUGCUGUGCCGAAGUCAACACAUUAAGCACUCCGCCUGGGGAGUACGGUCGCAAGGCUGAA
rnacentral:rRNA from 1 species